GAUGAACGCUGGCGGCGUGCCUAAUACAUGCAAGUCGAGCGAACAGAUGAGGAGCUUGCUCCUCUGACGUUAGCGGCGGACGGGUGAGUAACACGUGGAUAACCCACCUACAAGACUGGGAUAACCUCGGGAAACCGGAGCUAAUACCGGAUAAUAUCUUGAACCGCAUGGUUCAAUAGUGAAAUACGGUUUUGCUGUCACUUAUAGAUGGAUCCGCGCCGCAUUAGCUAGUUGGGAAGGUAACGGCUUACCAAGGCGACGAUGCGUAGCCGACCUGAGAGGGUGAUCGGCCACACUGGAACUGAGACACGGUCCAGACUCCUACGGGAGGCAGCAGUAGGGAAUCUUCCGCAAUGGGCGAAAGCCUGACGGAGCAACGCCGCGUGAGUGAUGAAGGUCUUCGGGUCGUAAAACUCUGUUAUUAGGGAAGAACAAAUGUGUAAGUAACUAUGCACGUCUUGACGGUACCUAAUCAGAAAGCCACGGCUAACUACGUG
rnacentral:rRNA from 1 species